UACGUAGGGGGCAAGCGUUGUCCGGAAUCAUUGGGCGUAAAGCGCGUGUAGGUGGCUCGAUAAGUCCGCUCUGAAAGUCCAGGGCUCAACCCUGGGAUGCGGGUGGAUACUGUCGGGCUCGAGUCCGGAAGAGGCGAGUGGAAUUCCCGGUGUAGCGGUGAAAUGCGCAGAUAUCGGGAGGAACACCAAUGGCGAAGGCAGCUCGCUGGGACGUGACUGACGCUGAGACGCGAAAGCGUGGGGAGCAAACAGG
rnacentral:rRNA from 1 species